AACGCUAGCUACAGGCUUAACACAUGCAAGUCGAGGGGCAGCGGGGGCGAAAGCUUGCUUUCGCCUGCCGGCGACCGGCGCACGGGUGAGUAACACGUAUGCAACCUGCCCGCAGCAGGGGGAUAAGCCGGAGAAAUCCGGUCUAAUACCGCGUAAAACCCUGAGGGGACAUCCCCAUGGGGUCAAAGGAGCAAUCCGGCUGCGGAUGGGCAUGCGUCGCAUUAGGCAGUUGGCGGGGUAACGGCCCACCAAACCGACGAUGGAUAGGGGUUCUGAGAGGAAGGUCCCCCACAUUGGUACUGAGACACGGACCAAACUCCUACGGGAGGCAGCAGUGAGGAAUAUUGGUCAAUGGCCGAGAGGCUGAACCAGCCAAGUCGCGUGAAGGAUGAAGGAUCUAUGGUUUGUAAACUUCUUUUAUACGGGAAUAAAGUGAGUCACGUGUGGCUUUUUGUAUGUACCGUAUGAAUAAGCAUCGGCUAACUCCGUGCCAGCAGCCGCGGUAAUACGGAGGAUGCGAGCGUUAUCCGGAUUUAUUGGGUUUAAAGGGUGCGUAGGUGGUCUUUUAAGUCAGCGGUGAAAGUUUGUGGCUCAACCAUAAAAUUGCCAUUGAAACUGGGAGACUUGAGUAUGUUUGAGGUAGGCGGAAUGCGUGGUGUAGCGGUGAAAUGCAUAGAUAUCACGAAGAACUCCGAUUG
rnacentral:rRNA from 1 species